GUCCCAUUAGCUCAGGGGUCAGAGCGAAGGUCUUAUGAGCCUUAGGCCGCGGGUUCGAUCCCCGCAUGGGACA
rfam:Emiliania huxleyi CCMP1516 EMIHTscaffold_630_Cont8502, whole genome shotgun sequence.